GACGAACGCUGGCGGCGUGCUUAACACAUGCAAGUCGAAGAUAGUGGCGAACGGGUGAGUAAUACAUGGUUAACCUGCCCUACUUUUAGGGAUAAGCCUUGGCAACGGGGUCUAAACCCUCAUAACGGGGGAUGGGCUCGCGGCCUAUCAGCUUGUUGGUGGGGGGCUGGACUACCCAGGCGGUGACGGGGAGCCGGCCUGAGAGGGUGCCCGGCCACGUUGGGACGGCACUACGGCCGAUAGUAAGAAGGGAGGCAGUAGUGGGGGAUAUUGCACAAUGGGCGAAAGCCUGAUGCAGCGACGCCGCGUGGGGGAUGAAGGCUUUGGGGUUGUAAACCUCUUUCGCUAUCGAACGGGUAGGUGGAGAAGAAGCGCCGGCUAACUACGUGCCAGCAGCCGCGGUAAUUC
rnacentral:rRNA from 1 species